rnacentral:rRNA from 1 species
UACAGAGGUCCCAAGCGUUGUUCGGAUUCACUGGGCGUAAAGGGUGCGUAGGCGGUCGGGUAAGUCUGAUGUGAAAUCUCACAGCUCAACUGUGAAACUGCAUUGGAUACUAUUCGGCUUGAGGUCUGGAGGGGGGACUGGAAUUCUCGGUGUAGCAGUGAAAUGCGUAGAUAUCAAGUGGAACACCAGUGGCGAAGGCGAGUCUCUGGACAUUUCCUGACGCUGAGGCACGAAAGCCAGGGGAGCAAACGGG